CCCAUCAUCUGAUCGAUUUCCAGAUAAGAAACUAGUCUUGCAUCCCUGGAAUAAACCCACGGUGUCUACGCCCUUUUUUAUGCUGCUGGUGGCCUGCUAGUAUUUUGGUCAGGAUUUUUGGAUCUGGGUUUAUAAGAACUUACCAUGUAGAGUUCUUGUGAUGUGUUUGGGUGUCAGGGUAAUACUUGUUCAUAGAGUCAUUUCAGAGUGUUCCUUUCUUUCUUUUAAGAAGUUUUUGCAGCACUCACUGGUGCUAAAAAUUCUACUAUAAUCAUUUAGUAGAAUUUACCAGCGAAACCCACUGGACCUGGACAUUUCAUUGUUCAAAAUGCUAAUUCAGGCUCCUGUUACAGCUCUGUACAGAUUUUCUAUUUCUUCCUGAGUCAGUUUCAAUAGUUUGUGUCUUUUUAGGAAUGUUUCUUUUUCAUCUGGGCUAAUUUGUUCAUAUACAAGUGCUCAAAAUAUUCCUUUACAAUCCUUUAUAUUUCUGUAGGGUCACUAACUGUGUUCAUAGAAAUAAAUGAAAUAGAGAACAGAAAAAACAUAGAGAAAAAUUAACAAAAUGAAAAGUUGCCUCUUUGAAAAGCAACAAAAUUGACAAACCUCGUUGGAGGAGAGAAGACUGAAUGUUUUUGUUUUCAUCCAUCUUGAAGUAUUUUUGAAUUUCUCCUGUGCUUUUUUUCCUCUGGCCUUUUGAAGGGGUUUUUUAGGAUUAUCUUCCUUAAUUUCCACAUACUUCCCAAAUUUCCUUGUAUUACUGAUCUCAAAUUUAAUUCCAUGAGAAGGUUUUGGCCUUGUUUUUUAAAAAAAUGGUUUCUACCCCUUUCUGCCCUCUCCCUCUGGCACUCCCAUCAUGCAUAUAUUAGUACACUUGGUGGUGUCCCACAGCUCUGUUCAUUUUCCUUUGCUCUUUUUUCUGUACUCUUCAAAUCUGAUGAUUUCUAUUCAUAUGUCUUCAACUUUACUGAUUUGUCUGCCAUGUCAAUUCUUCCCGUGAGACCAUCUAGUGAAUUUUUUUGUUUUAGUUACUGUAUUUUCAACAUUAGAAUUGUUCUUUGGUUCUUUUUUGCAAUUUCUCCUUGUUAAUAUUCCUCUUUGAUGAGACACUUUCUCAAACUUUUCUUUAAUUCUUUGAACAUAUUUAAAAGAGCAGAUUUAAAAUCUUGUCUAGUUAAGUCCAACGUCUUGGCUUGUUCAGGGACAGUUUCUAUAGGUUGCUUCUUUUCCCUGCACAGAUCACACUUUCUUUGCAUGUCUUAUCAUAUUUGGUUUAAUAAUGGACAUCUAUAAUACUAGAAUGUGGCAACUCUGGAAAUCAGACCCUUGCCUCCCCACCCCCACCUCUGUGGUUGCUGUUUGUUCAUUGAAAUAACUCUGUCCUGAAAUAACUCUGUGUUCUUUGUUGUGUGUGAGGUCUCUGGUUAGCUCCAUGGUCAGCUGAUGCUGGACUGAGAUUCCCUUAAAUGCCUUGAGCCAUUAAGUCUCUAGCUGUGUGCAGACUUGCAGAGGAACUCUGUGUGCAUGUUGGGGCAGGCCUUCUGUGCUUUGUCGGGGAAUUGGCAGCCUUGCCUCACCACCACUGCCUUUCUGUGCAGAGCCUCAGGAUCGGCCAGAGGCACCUUGUCACACAGCAGGACAAGCAGUGUGGACGCCGCUGGCACUGCCCGCGCAGGCUCGUCCCGGAUUGCCUAUACGUGGUCCUAUUUCAACUGUCAACAAGCUUUCUAUUGAUCUUUUAAACCCUGGGUGCUGUCCUACUGCCAACCACAGGGGCCCUCAUCAGAUUAUGGUUCCCGACUUUUCAAUCAGAAAUGUGCUCGCCAUCGGUUCUCUCCAGCAGUGUGUGUCCCUCUCUGGGGACCCCUGAUGAGGUUACCCUGCGCGGGGUGGCCUUGCCUCAGGGGCAUCUCCUGGCCUCUGAAGAUGUUCACGUGGUCAGAUUCACUGGCGGAACUUUAUUCUCCAGCCUGUUGCGGUGGAAUCUUUGUCAUUGAUUUCAGACAUUUCCUCCCCUGUAAGCAAACUAUGCAAAGGGACUUCUUUUACGAGAUGAAGGGGACCUGUGAAAAAUCCCCAGUUCACGCAAUCUCGUACAUUCUGCCAAAUACUGAACAUUUUCUUUCUGAGAUCAGUAGCAAGAUAAGGAGUAUACUGCCCCUCACCUGUAGUCAGCAUGGCGGUGAGAAUCGAGCUGCAGUAGAAAACAGGACAAAGGGGCAGAAGCAAAACUUGGUGGGAAAGAAACAAACUGUCUCUGAACACGGCACGAUCACUUACAUAGAAAACCUCAAGGAAGCUACAAAACCACUCGUGUAAGUUGCAGGAUUCAAGACUAAUAUGCAAAAAUAAAUUUCACAUUUAUAUACUAAAACAAUUGGAAAUUAGGUUUGAAGAAAAGUCCACUUAUAAUACCAAAUAAAAUACUCAGAAAUGCAUUUAACAAAAGAUGCACAAGUCAUGUUCACAGAAAACUACAGCACACUUCUGAGAGAGACAUUUAGAAGACCUGGGUACAUGCAGAGGUGUGCCGUGUUCCUGGAAUGGAGGACUCACUGGCAGCCCCACAAACCUGUCUGUAGAUUCAGUGCAAUCCCAAUCAAAAUCCCAGCAUGGUUUUGUAGAAAUUGAGAAGCUAAUUCUAAAAUUUACUUACAAAUACAAGAGACCUAGAAGAGUCAAAGAAAUUUCUAAAAGCUGGAGGACUGAGACCUCUUGAGUUCCAGACUUCCCUCAAAGCUAAGGUAAUCAAGUAGUGUAGACAUAUGGAUCAACUGGACAUGAUAGACACCCAUACAGAGAGUCAACUGAUUUUUAACAAAGAUGGUUAGUCAAUUCAAUAGGGAAAGAAAAAUUAUUUAAAUAGCUGGCUAUUUAUAAAUAAACAUCAACUUUUACAUUGCUCCAUACACACAAAUAUUAACUUGAAAUGAUCAUAGAUAUGAAACUCCUAGGAGAAAAUCUUUGUGACCUUAAGUAGGCAAACAUUUUGUACAUAGAAUAUGAAAAGCACAAACCGUAAAAAAUCGAUAAACUGGAUUUAUCAAUUACUUUUGCUCUUUGAAAGACACUAUUUAGAAAAUGAAAACACAAGUCCCAGAAUGGUAGAAAAUAUUAGCAAUGCCUGUAUCUGACAAAUGAUUCUUAAUCAUAUUAUGCAGAUAGGAAUUAAAACUCAGUAUUAAAAGGACAAGCAACACAAUUAUAAAUGAGCAAAUGAUUUGAACAGAUGCUUUACUAAGGAAGAUAUAUAAAUGCCCAAGAAACACAUGAAAAGAUGUUCAACAUCAAGUGUCUGGGAAAUGCAAACAAAACUACAAUGAGCUACACUACCCACCUACUGGGAUGGUUAAAAUCAAAGACUAAUAACCCCUCUUAUUUUUUGAACCUAAAGUGGCACAAACACUGCUUGACAGUUUCUUAAUGCACCUGUCAUGUGACCUAGUUUUUCUACUUCCAGACAUUUGCCCAAUGUAAAUGAAAACAUACA